UACGUAGGGGGCAAGCGUUGUCCGGAUUUAUUGGGCGUAAAGAGCGUGUAGGCGGUUCGGUAGGUCCGUUGUGAAAACUCGAGGCUCAACCUCGAGACGCCGAUGGAAACCCCCGAACUAGAGUCCGGAAGAGGAGAAUGGAAUUCCUGGUGUAGCGGUGAAAUGCGCAGAUAUCAGGAAGAACACCCGUGGCUAAGGCGGGUCUCUGGGCCGUUACUGACGCUGAGGAGCGAAAGCGUGGGGAGCGAACAGG
rnacentral:rRNA from 1 species